GUCCCUGAGCUAGGCACCUUAACCCCCAGAGGCGUGCGACCUCUGACACAUAUAGCAGCUGUAAGUCUCUUGGAUAAAAGCAUCAGCUAAAUGAAUAAAUGGAAAUGAUGUGCAAAAUAUUGAAACCUCAUAUUUAAUUUAAAAUAGCAGAAAGACUGCUCAUCAGAGGUUGAGACGUUUUGUUGUGUUUCGCACAUCUUCACAUUUACUUUCUGUUUACACAGCGGGUUUUAUUUCACUGUGCGGUCCAGUUCAGGCUAAGCUCAGAUGUUACUGUAGACUCAGUGAGGAUCUCGGUUCUCUCACCUGUCAGUUGAUCCCCCACCAGCUGGACGACCGCCUGUCGGUGCAUCAGCUCCCACAGUCCGUCAGUCGCCAGGACCAGGAACUUGUCAGCGGGUCUGAUCCGGUGUCGUGUGACUUCCGGCUGGGCGGUCAGGUACGGUGGGGUCAGAUAGUGUGGCGGCGGUGUCCGGACCGCCUCGCUGACCGCAGACAGGACAUCCGGUCGUGUUUCGUAGAUUCGGCUCAGCAUCUCUGGGCUCCAUUUGAAGCGGACGUUGCCAAACGCCCUAAAGGGCAGCAGCAGACCCAGCAGGCGGUCAUGGCGGACCACCGUCCUCCACUCCGACGACGGGUGUUCUCCCAGAACCCUUUGCAGCUCGUCUGGGUUCUGCGCGUUGUGGUCAUUGGUGAGGCUGACCGCUGACCAGCGGCCGUUGGGUUCCUGGACGCCCAGGACGGCCCGGCUGUCGCCCAGGUUGGCCACAUGCAGGACCCCGUUGGAGAUGUGGGCGACGCAGGCCGUGCAGCCAGACAUCGCCACCCGGAGAGGGGAGGCCGGAGACAACGCCUCCCCGGGGAGAGACACCCGCCUGUGGACAGAGAGAGGACGCACCUGGUGACUAAAGCUCAAAGCAGCCGGGUGAAAACAGCAGAUCCAGCAGAGAACCCGGACCACCUAGCACCGUUACAGUCCACCUCUAAUUCACAGGGUGCUGAGAUCUGCAGGCAUCUUCUACUACAGCAAACUGUUUCUGUCACGCCCCCUUCAGAAGCUGAAAAACAUUCAGCACCCCCCACCAGUACCUCCCACCACCUACAAGUUCAGGUUCUAUGAAGAACCAGGUCCCAGGCCAGUUAGAGGAGAAGACUCAUGUUGUCUUCAGCUGAACUCUUACAGGAUAGUCGUGUUAUGUCAGGUCUGGACACGUAUCACAAACUCUCUUUUAUUCAGAAAGACUUUAUCCAAAUCCAAAGUUUGUAAAUGAAACACAUGAAACUGCAGCUUUAACUCGGUCUGACAGAAACCAAGAACAGAAUGAGGACCUGGGUGAGGACAUGAACAGGUGGACCUGGGCCUCCACAGAAAGGUCGUAGUCAAGACGGCGGAAAGCGUUGACCAUUGCUGAUGUCACCCUGCCGCCAUCCUGCAGCCAAUCAGAGAGGAGACAGAUCACAACAUGUGAAAACUAAAAGUCAUUUUCAGAUUAUUGUCCCCGAAGGGAUAUUUGUUUUGGACUCAACAACAUCGUCGUCUCUCAACACUUACUCUCAGAUACAAAAGACAGGUACCUGCAUAAAGGACACAUUCACUCCUUGCACAAACGGGAUAUCUAACAUCUUAAAAUAUCCUAAACAUCAUUCUCUCCUCUUAGACCUGUUUCAAACUCAAACUAAACCCUCUGACAGCAGAGAGACGGAGACGGACUGAGGUCUCCUGUCCGUCUGCAGAGAUUAGCCAAUAGCAGCCGGGCAGCCACCAGGUGUCAGGCUGCACACAGACUUGAUCAGAUGUUUACUUUAGAGGUCUUCACAGGUCCACCUGGAUCCCAGUAGCUAAGACCCAGCCUAGGGUCUAAAUUAUAUUCACUCUAAUCAGGUCUGGUGGGUCCCUUUAGGAUCGGGUCUCUUUUUCUUUUUUUAAUUCGUGGCAGGUUCUGGCAGGUUUCCAUUUGUCCAUCUUUGGGUCCAUACUUUUGGACAAGUGGAGACCUGUGGUGGGGACACCUGGUUACCUCGUCCUCGUGCUCGUCCUCGUCCUCCAGCCUCUCCUGCCAGUAGUUCCGGAGGCUGUGGAAGGAGAUCGCUCCUCCGUCGGGGCAGUUGUGGUCUUGGGGGUGGUUGUGCCACUCCAGCAGCGGCGGUACAGCCCGUUCCUCCUCCACCGCCUGUUCGAGCUCCGCCAGCGUCUUCAGCGGCAGCGUUGCCACGGCGACGUAGUAGAAGAGCCUCUGGCUGACGGCGUGCGCGCACACCGCCCCCGCGUGGCCGUCAAACACGCCAAACAGCACGCCGCCACGGCCCUGAAGGCAGGUGGCGUUGCUCCUACGGUCCUCGCCGGGGCGGUUGGAUGGCAACAUGUUGCUAUGGAAAUCCAGGACACCAUGGGAGGCGGGGCCACUUGGGAGGGCGUGGCUGUAUUCGUUGGCCUGGCAACAGAAGACGCACAGAUCGGUACUCUGAUUGGUGGAUUAAUCCCUGGAAUGAUGGAUUUUUCUCACCUUUAAGAUGCGGUUGAUCUGAAACGAGCUCAUCUGUCCCGCCUCCUGCCCUGUCCUGUACUUCCUGCUCCCGCUGCCUGCUGGGUAAUGGAGUCUGGGGAGCUCGGGAGGAGGGGAAGGGGAGGAGAGGGAGCGACGGCAUUGGUGGAGCUUAAACCUGCAAUGUCCACUGAAGGUUCCUGUUCUUCCCUGCAUGGCCACUCACCCAGAGAUCCAGCAGCAGAACCAGCAGCAGAUCCAGCAGAGUGGAACCUGGAGGAGAAUCAAAAGAAACAUCAGCGGAGAACAACAGAGCUGCAGGUCUCAUGACAGACCAGACUGUCUUCUGCAUCAGGUGCAAAGCACAAGAUCCAGAAACUGCUGCGUUCGGGAGCAGCCUGCAGUAUCUGGAGCCACUACGUGGAGUCAGUUAGACCGGUGGACCCUGGAACAAACUGGUCUACAGGCUGCAAAUGAAAUCUGGAGACAGAAUCCUGGACCGCAUACACUAGAUUGCUUUUCUUGUGUUUGGGUUUGUGGUCUUAAGGGUGGACCAGUAAACGCAACAACAAGAUUGUGAUUCCAUAUGUGUCUGGAGCACCAGAGAAAAUCAGGGGGACUUUCAACAAACACCACAUGCGUGUGGUUUUAAACCCAAGAACACGCUAAGGCAGAUCCUGGUCCACCCUAAAGACCGCACUCCCAAACACAAACAAAGCUAUCUAGCGUUCUCCAAUGCAGUGCUCGAGAAGGAACAUCAGCAGGAGAACCAGUGUUGUGUUCUGAUGGACUCAUCACCAGCUGCUGUCCCACACUCACCUGGGAGGGUUACCUGUACAUUUCUGUGUUCUGUUUAAUGACUGACUGUUUUCACUUGUUCCUGACUUCUUAUUCUGCUGCUUCUCUCUCGGGUUCACCUCCAGGUGCACAGUCACUUUGUGCAUAAAAGGCCUGAAACAACAGAUGGUUUUGAUCUCGGUGAGGAGGAAACGUUCUGAAAAACAGAAGAACCGAUACAAACGGAGCGGAAGAAGAAUGAAGCUGAAACUCACUGUGUGUGUUGAGGUGUUUGGUUCUUUGUCCUCGGUUCAGUUGAUGAUGUCUGGUUCUUGGUCUUUGGUUCAGUUGAAGGUGGGUGUCUGGUUCCUGGUCCUCGGGUCAGUUGAAGGUGUCUGGUUCUUUGUCCUUGGGUCAGUUGAAGGUGUCUGGUUCCUGGUCUUUGCUUCAGUUGAAGGUGUCUGGUUCCUGGUCUUUGGUUCAGUUGAAGGUGUCUGAUUCCUGGUCUUUGGUUCAGUUGAAGAUGUCUGAUUCCUGGUCUUUGGUUCAGUUGAAGGUGUCUGGUUCCUGGUCUUUGGUUCAGUUGAAGGUGUCUGGUUCUUUGUCCUUGGUUCAGUUGAAGAUGUCUGGUUCCUGGUCUUUGGUUCAGUUGAAGGUGUCUGGUUCUUUGUCCUCGGGUCAGUUGAAGGUGUCUGGUUCCUGGUCUUUGGUUCAGUUGAAGGUAUCUGGUUCCUGGUCUUUGGUUCAGUUGAAGGUGUCUGGUUCUUUGUCCUUGGGUCAGUUGAAGGUAUCUGGUUCCUGUUCUCUGGUUCAGUUGAAGGUGUCUGGUUCUUUGUCCUUGGGUCGGUUGAAGGUGUCUGGUUCUUUGUCCUCAGUUCAGUUGAAGGUAUCUGGUUCCUGUUCUUUGGUUCAGUUGAAGGUGUCUGGUUCCUGGUCUUUGGUUCAGUUGAAGGUGUCUGGUUCUUUGUCCUCGAUUCAGUUGAAGGUAUCUGGUUCCUGUUCUUUGGUUCAGUUGAAGGUAUCUGGUUCCUGUUCUUUGGUUCAGUUGAAGGUGUCUGGUUCUUUGUCCUUGGGUCGGUUGAAGGUGUCUGGUUCUUGCUUGUUUGACCUGGACAGGCGUUCUGUUGAAGGUGGUUCGUAUAUUCUCUCAGUUGUCGUCUUUGUUUCUGUCUGUGUCCCACUGUGACCUUUGACAGCUUUCAUAUCUCUUACCUCAGUAAUCAGUAAUCCAUAACCCUCCUGCUGCUCGCCGUGAAGCCCCGCCCUCCUUGCAGUGACAUCUUCGCUGAGCGGCCAGAAGAGGAGAAAUCCCCAAACCGACCUGCUGGAAAGAAAGAAAUGCAUUAAACAUCCCCGAGGUUCUGCUGUGGAACUUAAUGUCUUUAAGCUUUUCAUGAGAACAUGAAGGAAUUUUUCAUCCACACCGACUUGAAAGUAUCUGACUUGAUGCGUCAGGUGAAAUUAUGAAGAAGAAUUUUAUUAUUAAUAAUUUUGAUUCAUCUUA